UACGUAGGUGGCAAGCGUUGUCCGGAAUUAUUGGGCGUAAAGCGCGCGCAGGCGGUCCUUUAAGUCUGAUGUGAAAGCCCACGGCUCAACCGUGGAGGGUCAUUGGAAACUGGGGGACUUGAGUGCAGGAGAGAAGAGUGGAAUUCCACGUGUAGCAGUGAAAUGCGUAGAGAUGUGGAGGAACACCGAUGGCGAAGGCAGCCCCCUGGGCUAACACUGACGCUCAUGCACGAAAGCGUGGGGAGCAAACAGG
rnacentral:rRNA from 1 species